GGAAAGUGUUGGCUCAGUGGUAGAGCAUCUGCUUAGCAUGCAAAAGGUCCUGGGUUCAAUCCCUGGCAUUUCCA